rnacentral:misc_RNA from 1 species
AAGUCGUAACAAGGUCUCCGUUGGUGAACCAGCGGAGGGAUCAUUACUGAGUUACCGCUCAUCAACCCUUUGUGAACAUACCUUAACUGUUGCUUCGGCGGGUAGGCGUCCCCUAAAAAGGACGUCUCCCGGCCCUCUCCCGUCCGCGGGUGGGGCGCCCGCCGGAGGAUAACCAAACUCUGAUUUAACGACGUUUCUUCUGAGUGACACAAGCAAAUAAUCAAAACUUUUAACAACGGAUCUCUUGGUUCUG